rnacentral:rRNA from 1 species
AUGGCUAAAGGCCCAAAGGUAUCACACCCCGAGUAUGUUGAUUUCAAUAGUGAUGAAGAUGACUUGUUAGGUGAUGAUGAUUUACUUGUUGACAACUCUAGUGAUGAAUACUAUGAUGAAACGUCAAUUAAUCAUGCUAAUCAAGAUAAAAUGAAUGACAAUGAUAAGGAGAAGAUUGAGUCUCUAACUAAAGAACUAAACACUCUUAAGUUAGCUCAUGAAACUAUCUUAGGAGAUCAUCGAGAACUUUUAAGGACUCAUGAGAAAUUGCGCUUUGAAAAGCUCAACCUUGAGCAAGAGCAUGAGUUCUUAAAAGCAACCAAUGAUGAUCUUCGUAAGAAAAGUUCUUCUUACAUUGCCAAGCGUUUACUCUUAUCCACUUACAUGCCUCAAGUCAAGUUUAGUAACAAGAACAAGAAAGAUUCUUCCUCUAGUAGUAACAAUAAUCAUGCUAAAUCCAAUAUUGUUGCUUCUAGUAGUUCUCUUGAUUCCACUAAUGAUUCUCUUAGCCAAGUUACACUUGAUCAAGAAAAUAGCUUAUUGAAGGGAAUUAUAGAGAAAGGUGUUUACAAGAGCCUUGCCGGAAGUAAGCAAUUCGAGGAAAUUGUACGCAAGCAAGGAAGGCACCGGAAGAAUCAAGGUGUUGGUUUUGAACGAAAGUUCAAUGCCAAUGGAGUUGAGUGGGAAGAAGAUCAAUACCCCAAGACAAAGUUUAUUCCUCAACAAGAGAAGUAUGAUCCUACUUCUCUCAAAGGGACACAAGCUCAAGAUGAUCUUCCACCACAAGACCACAAGCAAAAAGGCAAGGACAAGCUUCAAGAGGAAAUUGAUGCAUUUGAAGAAGCCCCUAAGGCCUUGGUCAAGUGGGUUCCCAAGACUACUUCAAGUUCCACUUCAUCAAGUACAACUACAACACCGAGGAUUCCCAUCAAGAUGGUGUGGAUCCCGAAGAAGAAUAACUAG